rnacentral:rRNA from 1 species
GUCGAGGGGUAUAGUUCUUCGGAACUAGAGACCGGCGCACGGGUGCGUAACGCGUAUGCAAUCUACCUUUCACAGAGGGAUAGCCCAGAGAAAUUUGGAUUAAUACCUCAUAGUAUUAUAGAGUGGCAUCACUUUAUAAUUAAAGUCACAACGGUGAAAGAUGAGCAUGCGUCCCAUUAGCUAGUUGGUAAGGUAACGGCUUACCAAGGCAACGAUGGGUAGGGGUCCUGAGAGGGAGAUCCCCCACACUGGUACUGAGACACGGACCAGACUCCUACGGGAGGCAGCAGUGAGGAAUAUUGGACAAUGGGCGCAAGCCUGAUCCAGCCAUGCCGCGUGCAGGAUGACGGUCCUAUGGAUUGUAAACUGCUUUUGUACAGGAAGAAACACUGGUUCGUGAACCAGCUUGACGGUACUGUAAGAAUAAGGAUCGGCUAACUCCGUGCCAGCAGCCGCGGUAAUACGGAGGAUCCAAGCGUUAUCCGGAAUCAUUGGGUUUAAAGGGUCCGUAGGCGGUUUAGUAAGUCAGUGGUGAAAGCCCAUCGCUCAACGGUGGAACGGCCAUUGAUACUGCUAAACUUGAAUUAUUAGGAAGUAACUAGAAUAUGUAGUGUAGCGGUGAAAUGCUUAGAGAUUACAUGGAAUACCAAUUGCGAAGGCAGGUUACUACUAAUGGAUUGACGCUGAUGGACGAAAGCGUGGGUAGCGAACAGGAUUAGAUA